rnacentral:rRNA from 1 species
GGGUAGGGAUACCCGCUGAACUUAAGCAUAUCAAUAAGCGGAGGAAAAGAAACCAACAGGGAUUGCCUCAGUAACGGCGAGUGAAGCGGCAAAAGCUCAGAUUUGAAAGCUAUCAUCUUAGAUGUUCGCAUUGUAAUCUGUAGAGGAGUGUUCAGGCAUAGCUUUGACCCAAGUUCUUUGGAACAGGACGUCAUGGAGGGUGAGAAUCCCGUUCAUGGUUGUUGUCUUAUGCUUAUGUGAACCUCCUUCAAUGAGUCGAGUUGUUUGGGAAUGCAGCUCUAAAUGGGUGGUAUAUUUCAUCUAAAGCUAAAUAUCAGCAGGAGACCGAUAGUGCACAAGUAGAGUGAUCGAAAGAUGAAAAGAACUUUGGAAAGAGAGUCAAACAGUACGUGAAAUUGUUGAAAGGGAAGCACUUGCACCCAGACUUGCUNACAGUUGAUCAAUUAUCAUUUUUGAUGGUGCACUCAAUUAUGAGCAGGCCAGUAUCAGUUAGAGUGGUGGGGCAAAGGUGUUGAGAAUGUAGCUCCUUCGGGAGUGUUAUAUCUCUUCAUGUAAUGUCAUCUGCUCUGACUGAGGUUCGCACUUUGGUGAGGAUGCUGGCUUAAUGGGUGCAAGUGACCCGUCUUGAAACACGGACCAAGGAGUCUNACAGUUGUGCAAGUGUUUGGGUAGAAAACCCUUAUGCGUAAUGAAAGUAAAUGGAGGUGAGAACCGUAAGGUGCAUCAUCGACCGAUCCUGAUGUCUUCAGAUGGAUUUGAGUAAGAGCAUAGCUGUUGGGACCCGAAAGAUGGUGAACUAUGCCUGAAUAGGGUGAAGCCAGAGGAAACUCUG